rnacentral:rRNA from 1 species
UAGAGUUUGAUCCUGGCUCAGAACGAACGCUGGCGGCGCGUCUUAACCAUGCAAGUCGAGCGGGAUUGCGGUGCUUGCACCGCAUGAGAGCGGCGGACUGGUGAGUAACACGUGGGUGACGUACCCUCCGGACAUGAUGAUAGCCUUUAGAAAUAAGGGGUAAUACCAGAUACGAGCGCACGGAUCAGAAACGUGCGGUGAAAGGAGCCAAGGCUCCGCCGGAGGAUCGGCCCGCGGCCCAUUAGCUAGUCGGCGGGGUAACGGCCCACCGAGGCGAUGAUGGGUAUCCGGCCUGAGAGGGUGAACGGACACAUUGGGACUGAGAUACGGCCCAGACUCCUACGGGAGGCAGCAGGUAAGAAUAUUCCGCAAUGGGGGAAACCCUGACGGAGCGACGCCGCGUGGAUGAGGAAGGCCGGAAGGUUGUAAAAUCCUUUUACGGACGGCGAAGGAGGCCGGGAGGGAAUGCCCGGCCGGUGACGGUAGUCCGUGAAUAAGCACCGGCUAAUUACGUGCCAGCAGCCGCGGUAACACGUAAGGUGCGAGCGUUGUUCGGAAUCAUUGGGCGUAAAGGGCAUGUAGGCGGCCGAGCAAGCCGGGCGUGAAAGGCAGGGGCUCAACCCUUGGACUGCGCCCGGGAACUGCACGGCUAGAGUCACUGAAGCGCAGCCAGAAUUCCAGGUGUAGGGGUGAAAUCUGUAGAUAUCUGGAAGAAUACCAAUGGCGAAAGCAGGCUGCGGGCAGAUGACUGACGCUGAGGUGCGAAGGUGCGGGGAGCAAACAGGAUUAGAUACCCUGGUAGUCCGCACAGUCAACGAUGUACACCAGGUGUCUGUACAGGAGUAUGGGUGCCGGAGCGAACGCGAUAAGUGUACCGCCUGGGGAGUAUGCCCGCAAGGGUGAAACUCAAAGGAAUUGACGGGGGCCCGCACAAGCGGUGGAGCAUGUGGUUUAAUUCGAUGGUACGCGAGGAACCUUACCUGGGUUUGACAUACAGGGAGAUUGCAUGGAGACAUGCAAGGCCAGCAAUGGCUCCCUGAACAGGUGCUGCAUGGCUGUCGUCAGCUCGUGCCGUGAGGUGUUGGGUUAAGUCCCGCAACGAGCGCAACCCCUACUGCCAGUUACCAACAGGUAAAGCUGGGGACUCUGGCGGAACUGCCGGUGACAAACCGGAGGAAGGUGGGGACGACGUCAAGUCAUCAUGGCCCUUAUGUCCAGGGCUACACACGUGCUACAAUGGCAGGCACAGAGCGGGGCGAGGCCGAGAGGCGGAGCGGAACGCAGAAAAGCUGCCGUAGUUCGGAUCGGAGUCUGAAACCCGACUCCGUGAAGUUGGAAUCGCUAGUAAUCGCGCAUCAGCACGGCGCGGUGAAUACGUUCCCGGGCCUUGUACACACCGCCCGUCACACCAUCCGAGCAGGGGAUGCCCGAAGCCGGUGGUCCAGCCGCAAGGAGGACGCCGUCGAAGGUACGCCUGGUGAGGAGGGUGAAGUCGUAACA